ensembl:lncRNA
CAGGCCAAUAGAAAUGCUGUCGUAUCCGGGCCAGGGUCCGAUCCACACCAGCAUGGGCAGCAGCUUCAUGGACCUUUUUCCAGACCUCUUCGCACCUUGAGCUUGGACACACCACCUGGAAGCAUACUUCAUGGGUAUGCUGAUCGGGAUGGGAUCAACUGGAAACCUGGACAGAGCAUCUGCAUUAGCAUUGCUUUUACCUGGGCGGUACUUGACGUCGUAGUUGAAAGAAGCCAGCUGAGCGACCCAGCGUUGUUCCACAGCACCCAGGCGAGCCGUCUGCAGUUUCAGGCCAUGCCGCAACAAUCUUUGGAUCACCUCAUCCAAAUGCUGUAGGUGAGAGGAAAAAUCAGCCACUGCUGCUGGUCGGUCUUGCCCUUUCUUCUUGUUGUUUCCGGUUCCGUUCCUUUCCUGGGUGAGGUGUCCAGUCCGUUUCGUUCCUCUCCCCGUUGCACCCUGCCUGCUCGUCCGUUGUCUGGC